rnacentral:rRNA from 1 species
UACGUAGGGAGCAAGCGUUGUCCGGAAUCAUUGGGCGUAAAGCGCGCGUAGGUGGCUCUAUAAGUCCGUUGUGAAAGUCAAAGGCUCAACCUUUGAACGCCGAUGGAUACUGCCGGGCUAGAGUCCGGAAGAGGCGAGUGGAAUUCCUGGUGUAGCGGUGGAAUGCGCAGAUAUCAGGAGGAACACCAAUAGCGAAGGCAGCUCGCUGGGACGGUACUGACGCUGAGGCGCGAAAGCGUGGGGAGCGAACAGG